rnacentral:rRNA from 1 species
AGACGGAGGUGGCAAGCGUUGCUCGGAUUUACUGGGUGUGAAGGGCUCGUAGGCGGUUCUGUAAGCCUCGCUUGAAAGGUUCUGGCUCAACCAGGACAUGUGGUGGGGAACUGCAGAACUCGAGGACGGAAGAGGCGAAUGGAAUUCCCGGUGUAAGGGUGAAAUCUGUAGAUAUCGGGAGGAACACCAGUGGCGAAGGCGGUUCGCUGGUCCGUUUCUGACGCUGAGGAGCGAAAGCUAGGGGAGCAAACAGGAGUAGAAACCCCAGUAGUCC